rnacentral:misc_RNA from 1 species
GGGCGGCGGGCCCUCUGAACCUUUUUUGAAAACGACCAGUCGCCGUCUGAGCAAACAAAAAAAAUUAUCA